rnacentral:rRNA from 1 species
UACGGAGGGUGCAAGCGUUAUCCGGAUUCACUGGGUUUAAAGGGUGCGUAGGCGGGUAGGUAAGUCAGUGGUGAAAUCUUCGAGCUUAACUCGGAAACUGCCUUUGAUACUAUCUAUCUUGAAUAUUGUGGAGGUAAGCGGAAUAUGUCAUGUAGCGGUGAAAUGCUUAGAUAUGACAUAGAACACCUAUUGCGAAGGCAGCUUACUGGACACAUAUUGACGCUGAGGUGCGAAAGCGUGGGGAGCAAACAGG